GGAUUAGAUACCCUGGUAGUCCACGCCGUAAACGAUGUCUACUAGUCGUCGGGGAUCUUGCAUUUCUGGUGACGCAGCUAACGCGAUAAGUAGACCGCCUGGGGAGUACGGCCGCAAGGUUAAAACUCAAAUGAAUUGACGGGGGCCCGCACAAGCGGUGGAGCAUGUGGUUUAAUUCGAAGCAACGCGAAGAACCUUACCAGGGCUUGACAUACAGUGCAAAACUAUAGAGAUAUAGCAGAGGUUAACAUUGAUACAGGUGGUGCAUGGUUGUCGUCAGCUCGUGUUG
rnacentral:rRNA from 1 species